GGAAGUGACAGAGCUCAGUGUCCUUAUUCUGGUCUUCAUGUGUGAGUUUAAGUCAGACCUCAGCUUAGACCCAAAUGUGGCCUCCUGGCUAUGCAUCUUACUGGCAGUGACCAUCCUUCUCAUUGCCUUUGUUACAUUUAAACCCCCCUUCAGUAAGAUUGAUACAUGUCUAAAGAAAUGCCACCUUUUUCAGCAUCCUGGGAAAGAAGUCCUGAGAGGGCAGGAAACUGGGAUGAGGGAGGACAACUUGCUUCUUGUGACUUUGUAGGAGAGAGAACCUAGGAAGACUACGCAGUAACAUCAGCUCGAGAGUGACAACCUGGCUCAGACAGAGAGUAUUUCUUACACUCUCAUUAUUCAUAUUAAAAGGAAAUUGAUAAUAAAUAUUUUUACACUCUCCAAC
rnacentral:lncRNA from 1 species